rnacentral:lncRNA from 1 species
GGUAUUAUCUUCACUUUACAGAUGAGGACACCUGAGGUUCAGAUUAAGAAAUCUGCCCCAAAGUCUUAGAACUGUGAUUCUACCAGAAAGGAAUGAAGAACAGAACCUUCAGGAAUUGAGUCACAAUGCAGACAAAUAUCAAAUGGGAGAUUGUUGCAAGGAAGAGAUUGAUGAUAGUAUUUUCUACUAGCCAUUGGGAAGAUAAAAGGAGACAGAAGAUUGAAGCCUUUGCCAGCCAUUCUUUCCCUUUUUGCUUCCAAACUCCUCAACUGGGAACCUUCAUAUGUGCAGUAUUUAUAUUGGAUCAUACUGGUGAUUAUAAAAGUUCCUAGGAGGCUAGAAGAGCCAACCAACAGAGAAGGGAAAGCAGUCUGUUCUGAACAUAGGGACAUAAGUUCAUUCAUGCCAAGUAUCUUUCCAGCAUGUUUCUCCCAUUUAGAAUAUCUAGCAUGUAAGGCCUUUCAAUAUUAAUAUAAGCCCAAUAUCAGCUCUUUCUCUUUGUAUUUCAUCUCUUUCUACUCUCCUAUUUGUAUUUUGUGUUCCUAUCAAAGUGUCGUAUCUGGGAGAUGACCUGCCUUAUCCUGUUCUAUAACAGUUUUGUUUGCUGCUGUGUCUUUAGAACAGUGCCUGGCACACAGUAAGCACUCAAUAAAUCUUUGAUGAAUGAA